CUAUUUCUCAGUUUUUGAUCUGCAAAUGCUGAGGUACCUCUCCUCACAAUAAUAUUGAUCCAUAGAUUUCAUAGAAGGUAUGAAAUUCUAAAAUCCUUUUUUCCUAACGAUAUCUUGAAAUCAUAAACAACGUUUUUUUAUAUGCACUCGGUUAUCAUCAGAAAAUGUAACCAAUCGCCACUAGAAAUGUUCUUUCAAUGGGAUUCCUAAAAGAUCUUUGCAUGGAAAGAAAUCUCGUGUCACGAAAAAUUUGUACCCUCAAUCAUAAACCUAUUGUGAACUUCUUUUGCUCGAUCAUGAACCUGUAACCGGGUAUACAUCAAGCAAUAUCAAGGUCUUAUCGAUGCAUCAAAACGAGUUAUGGAAAUCUUAUUAUUGUUUAUUAAUUUAUGCGAUCACUACUUCGUCUAUUGCUAAAUCAGGAAGAAAAAAAGCUGAUGGUUUGUCUAGCGUCCAAUACAAGCAUGAUCUGAAGGAUCAAGUUUGUAAUUUAAUCUAGAGUCAUUCUGCUGAUAGGUUCAUGUGUCCUACUGAUUUAGCAACAGGUUAAUCCAGAACGGUGCCUAAGAGGUGGAUUGGUUAAGUUUGUAAAGAGGGGUAUGUGAAUUCGUGAUUUAAGGAAUACAUGGGCAAAUAUCUGGAUUAACUUGUGGAGGGAGGCAGCGUGUGAAGUUUCUGUUAGAAGAAGAAGGAAAAGCCUUUGCCUGAAACCAAGUCCUUCUGUGAAUUUUAUUGAUUUUCCAAGAUGGUACUUAGGCCUUUACAGUUUAGACACCCAUAACCGAAUUUAAAAAACACCGAACAGUUUUACUCCAGGGCAGCAGGGGUAUGUAUUUCACUUCACUAUACCCAGGUAUGCAAAACGAUUUGGAAAUUUGAGCCACAAUUUUGCGAGGAUGCGCUUUAUUCAUUAAGAAACUUCUGCCCGGGUCUGAAAAACGAAACCUCAGGCCUGUAAACAAUGACAGCGGAUUCUUUUUCAAUUGGAAUAGGGAGUUAAAUGUUCUGCAGCUCAUCUGUCUUAAGGUAGUUAUUGCGUUUUUUUAGUGGUCUUAUGAUUCUAUCAACUAUUAUCUCUGAAGCUUGUUGGUCAAUCGAAAGAAGAUGACCUUAUAUGUCUAAAAGUAUUCACCUCAAAUCUCUUAUAUUGCAUCAAUCAGGUAUGGUUUACUGAACCCAAACACAAAAAUAGUUCAUCUACAUGCGGUUAAUGCAAGUGAUAAUGAGGUGUACUUAAUAAUGGUCUUCAUCGUAAUAAGGAAUUUGAGCCCGGAUAAUAAAUAUUGAUCUAUCGGGAUGAAAUCCAGGAUUACCUAUUGAUUUUC